rnacentral:misc_RNA from 1 species
GUGAAUCAUCAAAUCUUUGAACGCAAAUUGCACUCCCUGGUAUUCCUGGGAGUAUGCCUGUUUGAGGGUCGUUAGAACAUAAAUCUAAGCGUCUCUCUUUUUUUUAAGUGUGAUCGCUUCGGAAUUGAGCCGUCUUUCAAAUGUUAAUUCAUGUCAAAUUGGCUUAAAAUUCAUCCAUCCGGUACGAUUAAAGCUUAUUUAAGAUCAAUUUUUAUUAAGAACGCGCGAUGAACGGACCAUCUAAUGUGCUACGUUUAAUUUA